UUUUUCUUUUUUUCUUUGUUUGCAACCAUAUAACUCCUCAUAGAACUAAUACAAUACCUUUCAAUACCUUUAUUUAGGUUACAAUGGUUGCAACGAUAGUUUCCCAAUAAAGGAACAUAUCUGACAACUUUGAGCUACAUUCUUUUAGAUAAUGCCAAAACAAGAUAUUUAAAGGCAGAUUCCAUUUCUACCAGUGUCCCACAAUUUGGAGCUGCACACUGCUCCUUUAGCAGCACUAAGGAUGGGGAGGAAAAGCUCAUCCCACUGCUCUUCCCAGCAGAAGGAUACAGGAGAUAGAGGUAGCAGCAGUUGGCACAUCAGGAGUUAAACAAUUUGCUUUUCUUUAACAACACUUCAUUUCUGCCCUCAAAGUUUAUCUACAUUAAAAUAUUCUAAAUGUAGUGUGUUUCUGUAAGUCUAAUUAUAUGCAGCAUGCGAAAACAUAUUUGAUAAUCACAUU